rnacentral:rRNA from 1 species
GACGAACGCUGGCGGCGUGCCUAAUACAUGCAAGUCGAACGCUGAAGAGAGGAGCUUGCUCUUCUUGGAUGAGUUGCGAACGGGUGAGUAACGCGUAGGUAACCUGCCUUGUAGCGGGGGAUAACUAUUGGAAACGAUAGCUAAUACCGCAUAACAAUGGAUGACACAUGUCAUUUAUUUGAAAGGGGCAAUUGCUCCACUACAAGAUGGACCUGCGUUGUAUUAGCUAGUAGGUGAGGUAAUGGCUCACCUAGGCGACGAUACAUAGCCGACCUGAGAGGGUGAUCGGCCACACUGGGACUGAGACACGGCCCAGACUCCUACGGGAGGCAGCAGUAGGGAAUCUUCGGCAAUGGGGGCAACCCUGACCGAGCAACGCCGCGUGAGGGAAGAAGGGUUUCGGAUCGUAAAGCUCUGUUGUAAGUCAAGAACGGGUGUGAGAGUGGAAAGUUCACACUGUGACGGUAGCUUACCAGAAAGGGACGGCUAACUACGUG